GACGAACGCUGGCGGCGUGCUUAACACAUGCAAGUCGAACGGAAGGGCCCUGCUUUUGUGGGGUGCUCGAGUGGCGAACGGGUGAGUAACACGUGAGUAACCUGCCCUUGACUUUGGGAUAACUUCAGGAAACUGGGGCUAAUACCGGAUAGGAGCUCCUGCUGCAUGGUGGGGGUUGGAAAGUUUCGGCGGUUGGGGAUGGACUCGCGGCUUAUCAGCUUGUUGGUGGGGUAGUGGCUUACCAAGGCUUUGACGGGUAGCCGGCCUGAGAGGGUGAACGGCCACAUUGGGACUGAGAUACGGCCCAGACUCCUACGGGAGGCAGCAGGGGGGAAUAUUGCACAAUGGGCGGAAGCCUGAUGCAGCAACGCCGCGUGCGGGAUGACGGCCUUCGGGUUGUAAACCGCUUUCGCCUGUGACGAAGCGUGAGUGACGGUAAUGGGUAAAGAAGCACCGGCUAACUACGUG
rnacentral:rRNA from 1 species